GCAUAGACAGCUAGGAGGUUGGCUUAGAAGCAGCCACCCUUUAAAGAAAGCGUAAUAGCUCACUAGUCGAGUCGGCCUGCGCGGAAGAUGUACCGGGGCUUAAGCCAUAUACCGAAGCUAUGGAUGCACUUAGUGCAUGGUAGAGGAGCGUUGUGUAAGUCUGCGAAGGUGUGCUGAGAGGCAUGCUGGAGAUAUCACAAGUGCGAAUGCUGACAUGAGUAACGAUAAAGGGGGUGAGAGGCCCCCUCGCCGAAAAUCCAAGGUUUCCUGCUCAACGCUAAUCGGAGCAGGGUGAGUCGGCCCCUAAGGCGAGGCAGAAAUGCGUAGUCGAUGGGAAACGGGUUAAUAUUCCCGUACUUGUUAUUACUGCGAUGGGAUGACGGAGAAGGUUAGGUCAGCCAACUGUUGGAUAUGUUGGUUUAACUGUGUAGGCGUGCUGCUUAGGUAAAUCCGGGCGGCUUAGCUGAGACAGGAUGACGAGCUCAAAUUUGAGCGAAGUGAUUGAUACCCGGCUUCCAGGAAAAGUCUCUAAGCUUCAGGUAAUAACAAACCGUACCCCAAACCGACACAGGCGGUCAGGUAGAGAAUACUAAGGCGCUUGAGAGAACUCGGGUGAAGGAACUCGGCAAAAUUGUACCGUA
rnacentral:rRNA from 1 species